AGUGACUAAUUAAUACUAUCUUAUGAUUUUAAUAAAUUCGGUUUUCUCAACUACCGGUUCACGUUGGUUUAGGCGACUAAACCUAGCUCUUCCCCUCUUCUUGACGCAAGGCAUUUAUGGCAGACGAUUAUGCCAAAUAGGCUCCGGUCAUCUCUCUUCUAUUGAGCAAUCAGAUUUUGCGUCCAGUUCCGCACUAACGAUCCCAUUUACUUCAAGACGAAUUCCUCAAUCGUCGCCUUGACUGAGUCCGUCGAAUCCGGCCAAGCAUUGACGAAGGUCAUUCCACCACAGGUCAUACCAUUUAAUAAGAAGGCCAAGGAUACCUCACCACACAUUGGCGCUCACUGAUAGGGAUUCAAUUUUUUAUUUGAAUUCCAGCGACCACCCUGGAGCCCUGAUGGUUUUUGUUAAAUUGGUUGGCGAGUCUAAUGUUGUUUUUAGGAAAGCAAAUAAGGGAGAGUGAUUGAGAAGGGUAGAUGACAAGAUGAGCUCUAAUUAUAUAGCUUAAAUUUUACCUCUGAAUUCUCAAAUGCAUACAUGGAUUCUAGAAUUUAGCACAAGAGGCUUGGGCACAUCUCUUCUCAAAAGCUUGUUGUGGUAAUCAAGAACAAAGAAAUAAAUUUUUUUCUAAUAAAAAAUAAGUAAAAAAUACUCUUUGUAAUAAAAAUAGAUCAAAUAAUUUUGUUUCAGAUAAAGAUUUUGAAAUUUGUCCUCUUUCCAAACAAACCAAACUUUAAUAUACAAAAAGCAUAUCAAAAUGAAAUUAUUUGUUUGGGGCAAAUUCCCAACAACUAGUCAUUAUGGAUAUGAGUAUGUCCUUACCAAAGUUUACGAUCUAAGUAGAACAACAUGGGUUUACUUAAUUAAAAAUAAAUCCAUGGCCUAUGAAUACAUGAGGA
rnacentral:lncRNA from 1 species